rnacentral:rRNA from 1 species
UGGGGAAUAUUGGACAAUGGGCGCAAGCCUGAUCCAGCAAUGCCGCGUGGGUGAAGAAGGCCUUCGGGUUGUAAAGCCCUUUUGUACGGGAAGAAAUCAUCCGGGUUAAUACCCUGGGUGGAUGACGGUACCGUAAGAAUAAGCACCGGCUAACUUCGUGCCAGCAGCCGCGGUAAUACGAAGGGUGCAAGCGUUAAUCGGAAUUACUGGGCGUAAAGCGUGCGUAGGUGGUUGUUCAAGUCUGUCGUGAAAGCCCUGGGCUCAACCUGGGAAUGGCGAUGGAAACUGGGCGACUGGAGUGCGGUAGAGGAUGGCGGAAUUCCCGGUGUAGCGGUGAAAUGCGUAGAGAUCGGGAGGAACAUCCGUGGCGAAGGCGGCCAUCUGGACCAGCACUGACACUGAGGCACGAAAGCGUGGGGAGCAAACAG